CCCGCAACGACUGCUCCCCGCUCGUCCCCUCCCUGGAAACAGCGUCAUUCGACCUCCUUCUUCGAGGACUCGGUUCCUGACUCACUCCACCAGGUUUUGUUCCAAGUACUUUACGCGGAUCAGCUCUUCCAUGCCCACAACGAUCCCAUGAGCCACAAAUGAAAAUGACCCUCUUGAACUGCAAGUUCUUCAGAGGUCAUACCUUCUGAUGUCCUCUCUCGGAUCUGCUCAACUGCUUGCACAGAAUCAAAGUUCCCACCUUUCGUGAAUUUCAGGAUUGUCACUCAUUCACUUAUUAUUACAGGGAUAUUUCAGUCAAUAUAAUUCGAAGAUCUAUUCAUAGAAGCACAGAAAGCCAGUACAGCCAAUCACUCAAAACAACUAAUGCAAUGCAAUAAAGCAGUGAAUAAGCCAAACAACAGAAACUACUGAAAUUUCACCACACACUACAGAAUAACCACGCUCAGCUUUAGAACAACAGGAGGGACUGCCUGGUGGCUAAUGGAAGCGGGGCAGCCGACUACGUGCUAUAAAAACACAACCGCUGUGCCAAACGUGGAAAAAAGCAUUUUGAUGUUUCAAUAAAAUCCCCAAAUCCCCCAUUAAAACACACAUUGCUCCCUGAUACCCUAAAAUAUUCACGCUGAAGCAAGUGGAGGACCCGGGGAGGUGGGGGGUUAGAGCUGGCCAAGGGACAUGGUACAAGCAAGGUGAUGAACAGUAAUUUAAUUUUUUGAAGAGCCAAUGAGGGAGAGAGGUGCAUGCGGGAGAGAGGGUUGAACUAGGGAUCUAUUACAUCAUUGUUAGUUUUUUAAAGAAAAUUCUAUUCAAAUUCUAUGUUAAGAUGCAAUGAGUGGGGUGGAAAGAGGUCACAAUAAUAUACAAGCAACAUUCCCUCAUCCUUCAAAAUAAUUCCUACCCAUUGAACUUACCAGAAACAUAGCAACUCUAGGUUAUUAAAAAAUUACAGGUGAAGACUGGUAACACCUACUAACUGAAUUAUCACCUUUGUAUCCGUUUCAGAUAUUAUAAAACUUAAAAUUUAUUUCAAACGGAAGGGAACCCUCAGUUCCCUGAAACUGGAUACAGAGGCACAGGCUUAAAAACAAGAGUCACACAAAAAAAC